GUCGUGCUGCGGUUCGCGUCGAAGGCAAUCUAUCCCAGCGACCUUAAUUUCUUCGAAGGGAGCUGUCCCUGCUUGGUCCCGUGGGGCCAGGCACUACGGCGCCCACCUGGUCAGCCAGGUCGAGGGGAUUAAACCGACCUUCACGGCUCUCGCGGCGCCGCC
rnacentral:other from 1 species